ACUUCCUCCCUGCAGGCCCCACCCCGCGCCGGUGCGCCUGCGCCCGGGCGAACACGUGGCUGCCGCGGAGCCAGAGCAGCAAUGGCGGCCGGAGGCGGCGGUAGCUACGACCCCUUGGCCCCGGCGGGGGUCCCCUGCGCCUUCUCGCCGGACAGUCAAGCCUACUUCGCUUUAGCCUCUAGUGACGGUCAGCUGCGAGUAUGGGAGACCGCCAACAACCGGCUGCACCAGGAGUACGUGCCUUCCGCGCACCUCAGCGGUACCUGCACCUGCCUGGCCUGGGCGCCAGCACGGCUGCAGGCCAAGGAAAGUCAUCAAAGGAAAAAAAGGAAAUCGGAAGUUACAGGAACAAAGGACCAGGCUGACCUGUUGGCUCUUGGCACGGCAGUUGGUAGCAUUUUAUUGUAUAGUACAGUAAGAGGAGAGUUGCACAGUAAAUUAACAAGUGGUGGGCAUGAAAACAGAGUGAAUUGCAUACAGUGGCAUCAAGACAAUGACUGCUUAUAUAGUUGUUCAGAUGAUAAGUAUAUUGUGGAGUGGAGUACACAGACAUGCAAAGUAAAGUGCAAAUGGAAAGGAGACAAUAGCAGCGUCAGUUCCCUGUGUAUCAGCCCAGAUGGAAAGAUGUUACUUUCAGCUGGUCGAACAAUCAAACUAUGGGUUUUGGAGACCAAAGAAGUCUACAGACACUUCACAGGACAUGCGACACCUGUUUCGUCGCUUAGGUUCACGACCAUCAGACCUAAUGAGAGCCAGCCUUCUGAUGGGAUUACAGGCCUUUAUUUCUUGUCUGGAGCCGUACACGACCGAUUACUUAAUGUCUGGCAGGUCCGGUCAGAGAACAAGGAGAAGAGUGCAGUGAUGUCUUUUACAGUCACAGACGAGCCUGUCUAUGUUGACUUGACUUUGUCAGAAAACAAAGAAGAGCCUGUCAAGUUAGCUGUUGUUUGCAGAGAUGGUCAAGUUCAUCUUUUUGAACACAUAUUAAAUGGACAUUGCAAAAAGCCCUUGACUUCAAAUUGCACAAUCCAGAUCGCAACACCUGGAAAGGGCAAGAAAGUAACACCAAAACCCAUCCCUAUUCUAGCAGCUAGCUUUUGCUUAGACAAAAUGUCCUUAUUGCUGGUGUAUGGAAAUUGGUUUCAGCCUACCAUUGAGCGAGUGGCUUUGAACUCCAAAGAUACUCAUAUAUGUUUGGAAAGAGAUAUUUCAAAUUGCUGGGCUCCAACAGUAGAAACUGCUAUAACCAAGUGAGUGCAUUUUAUUGCACUGUCUGAUGGAAAAGCCUUUGGAGGGCUGCUUGCUUUCAUUAGUAGGAAGCACAAGACCUAAGUUACAUCUUUCCUGUAUAUACCCUGGCACUGUGUGUGACAGGUAAAAACACCAGUAAUGAAUUCUGAAGCAAAAGUUUUGGUGCCCGGGAUUCCUGGACAUCAUGCGCCAAUCAAGCUGCCGCCCGCCCAGCCCAAGGAGGCCGAGAACAAGAGGAAAUUGGGCAGUACUGAGGCUACCAUCGAGGAGCGCCUUGGUGCCAUGGACCUAGAUAGAAAAGGAAGGAAGGACGACCUUCAGACAAACAGCUUUGCAGUCCUCCUUACACAGGGCUUAGAAAGCAAUGAUUUUGAAAUAUUAAACAAAGUGCUUCAAACUAAGAAUGUAAACCUAAUAAAGAGGACUGUGCUGAGGAUACCGUUGCGUGUUGUUAUUCCACUGUUGCAAGAGCUUACGAAGAGGUUACAGGGACAUCCCAAUAGUGCUGCUUUAAUGAUUCAGUGGCUGAAGUGUGUGCUGACGAUCCAUGCAUCAUACCUAUCUACGUUGCCUGACCUAGUAGAGCAGCUGGGAACACUCUACCAGCUGAUGGAAAGCAGAGUCAAAACUUUCCAGAAACUCUCAAACCUGCAUGGAAAACUCAUUCUUCUCGUCACGCAAGUUACAGCAUCAGAAAAAUCGAAAAAAAUGACCUCUCCCGGACAGAAGGCAAAAUUGGUGUAUGAAGAAGAGUCUUCUGAGGAGGAGUCUGACGAUGAGGUUCCAGAGAAGGAUUCUGAUGAUAAUUGGGACGAAGAUGAAGACAAAGACAGUGAAAAAGAUGAGGGCGUUGAUGAAGACAAUGAGGAGGAAGAUGAGGACAUGGAAGACAAAGAAGAGAAUGAGGAGGACAGAGAAGUGUCAAGUGAAAAAGAAUUAAAUGGAGAUUCGGAUUUAGAUCCUGAAAACGAGAGUGAAGAAGAAUGAAGACAGAUGCAGCCAGCCAGUCACACGAGAGGCCUGGCUUGCCUUGCCCAGUGCUGCCUAUAGCAUCCUCCCAGGGAGGCUUGCCCUGUGCCAGAAAACAAGAGGCCACCAUAUGCUUCCAAGUUGACAGGCAAUUCCCACACUUCCUUCCUGUCCUGAGUGCCCCAGACUUUAACUGUGUAAAUAAGAGUGUUUCAUUCAAAUGUUAAUAAACUUUACACAGUAAAUAGACACACUUUCUGCAAUGUACUGACAUGAGUGUCCAAUAUAUGGUAUAUUUUUCUAAUAUAAUACUCUGGUAUGAUUGGUUCUGUUGGAAACUGAUUUAGGUGAAUACAGACAUACCAUAGGGGUAAGGAACUGAAUGCUGUAAAGGAGUCGGUUCUCAUCUCAGGUUGGUAUCUUUCAUCCAGUCCAAAAUGCAAGCGGCACUAAUGAAUUGUUCUUAAUCCGGCACGUCUAAUUUGACACGUUUUCAUGAAGGAAUAACUAAGUUAAAGUGAAAAUGGUUGUGAUUUACAGAAAUAAAAUCCCAGUGUCCACUCAAUGCUGGUCUGACUCAGAUCCAGUUGGGUGGUUGGAGUGCUUCCCCAAAUAACCACUUAUUUUUUAAAGCGUCAUGUGAGAUAUUUUUUUAAACAAAACAAAAUAAUGGUAAUUAAAGAAGCAAAGCUUCAGCCAUACUAAGGGGUUUCUUGUCUGCAGAGUGUAGAGACUCAUCAGUGUACAGAUGAGACCUGCUCAUCGUGCGACUGUAACCCUUCAGUCCUAGCUGCUUUUGAAGAGGUUUCCAUUUUUAUUUAAAUUGCUAAUGGAUCAGAGAACAAUUGUUUAUUUUUUCUCUUUGGUUUUAGAUAUUAAUAAUAACAUUACUGGAAUUUUUUUCCAAAGAAACUAUUUUUAUAAUUCAAUAAUUUAACGUUUUCGUUCCUUUUCAUUGCCCACUCUUGGCAGGGCUAGGGUAUCUGUUUAUCUUUCAAAAUGAUAAAUCUGACUCAAGAUUUUUUAUGUAUGUAUAAAUAAGUAUUUUGGUGUGCUACACAGCUUUUUCAAAUUACCAGUAAUUUGUCUUGUUUCUAAGGAGUGGGCCAGUACUAACUUAACUUGGUGUUCAGCAAGGGAUGCAGACGGAGAGCUCCCUUCUGCAGGACUAAGCAGAUGCGUGUCUUUCCCACCCGUGACUGUAAGAAUGCUCUCUGGGAGGACUUCCACCGGGGCAGAGCAGGCUGCCCAGCCGAAGCGGGAAGGGCAUGUUGGGCAAGCUGCUGGAGCGACUGAUGUACAGUUGUUAUUUGUCUAUAAAUGGAGCUGUUUAUGGCAAUUUAAUACCAUUCUCUUUGUAAAGUGAAUAAAUACUCAUCUUUACCCAG